AAAUUAACUUCGUGAAACAUUUCUACAAACCAAAUUGCUCUCAUACAAAGCAUUUUUUAUAAAAUAUUGUAAGUUUAUAUACUUUUAUUAAAUUUUUUGUGUUAAAAUUUAUAUAAUUAUACGUAUAAAUUAUGGAAUUGAGAUGCAGAAUAUUGGAAUUGAGCAAAGGUGCAAAGGUGCAGAAAUUGAGGAUUUGGUGGUGGCUUUACUUGGCCUCUGCAAUCUUCUAAUGAAGGAAGAAAAAGUUAUGGAUGCUGAAAAUCCCUUUAUUAGAUUUCUUGACAUAUAUGCAAAGUUAUACGGGGAGAAUAAUGGAAGAGUUUUUGAAUGGCUAUGUGUUUGUUGGCCCAUGUGAAAUGUGCAUAAGGGAAUGCUGAUAAAGGCAGUCAAUUAUAUAGAAAUGCUCUUCAGGUCCUUACAGAUUCAAAAUGUAUGCCUUUGGAUGACAACGUAAUGGAAAAAAUGAUAGAUUUACCAGAAUUGCUGCAUUUAGUGGGAAGGUAUGCCUUUGUUUCAGUUCUGCCACUUUUCUAAUUAAGAAACCUCUUUGUGCUCAGACUACAAUAAUU